GUGAAGCAGUGGGAAUUCUGAGUUUAGUUCUGGACUCAGCAAUGCAUUUGGACACAACCCCCAUAAUCCCCCAAACAGCAUUGCUAUGGAUUCUGUGCAGGAAGCCUCUUAGUGGCAACCUGACUAGUAUAGAGGGAACCUCCAUGACUGAAUGCAGCCAACAUAUGGCCAACAUAUAGAGCCCGGCUGCCACCUCUGAAGACAACCAGGAUGGGAAGAAGCUUGAGGAGGGAACGCUGACUCUAUGGUUGCUGCUGAGAAAA